rnacentral:misc_RNA from 1 species
UAUUCUCAACCCUCCAAAUCUUUGCGGAAAUGGAUGGGCUUGGAUGUGGAGGUUUAUGCUGGCUUCUAUAUGAGGUCGGCUCCUCUGAAAUGCAUUAGCACGAAUCUUACUUAAUGUGCCUCAGUGUGAUAAUUGUCUACGCUGUGGUCAUGAUGUAUAAUAUAUUUGCGCUUCUAACUGUCCUGUUGUGGGACAAUUUCUUUGAC